AGUUAUUUGGCUGAACAGGAAAGCAUGUGUUUUGAAAGCUCACUAUAGAGGUUCAAAUCCUCUAAUAACUU
rnacentral:tRNA from 1 species